ensembl:ncRNA T25F10.9 ncRNA
GGGCGGUGCGCUCAAAAAAAGAAGGCGUUUUUGGUUAUGAUAAGUUUUGCGCUGCUGCUGCUGCUCAACCCGAGUAAAAAAGUUCCAGAGCACUAAUGAUGAAUUGAUCCCGAGGGAUUGUGCAAGGUUGCCCCC